rnacentral:rRNA from 1 species
CCUACGGGAGGCAGCAGUGGGGGAUAUUGGGCAAUGGAGGCAACUCUUACCCAGCAAUGCCGCGUGAAUGAAGAAGGUCUUCGGAUUGUAAAGUUCUUUAAUUGGGGACGAAAAAAAUGACGGUACCCAAGGAAUAAGCCCCGGCUAACUACGUGCCAGCAGCCGCGGUAAUACGUAGGGGGCAAGCGUUGUUCGGAAUGACUGGGCGUAAAGGGUGCGUAGGCGGUGAAGCAAGUUAGAAGUGAAAUACCGUGGGCUGAACUCAGGGGCUGCUUCGAAAACGGCUAUACUGGAGUGCAGUAGAGGCAAGUGGAAUUCCUAGUGUAGCGGGGGAAUGCGUAGAUAUUAGGAGGAACAUCAGUGGCGAAGGCGACUUUCUGGACUGUAACUGACGUUGAGGCACGAAAGUGUGGGGAGCAAACAGGAUUAGAUACCCUGGUAGUC